UACAAGGCAGACGGCUCAGUAACGCGUAGUCAACCUACCCUAUGGACGGGGAUAACCUCGGGAAACUGAGAAUAAUACCCGAUAGAACAUUAUACCUGGAAUGGUUUAUGUUUCAAAUAAUUUAUUGCCGUAGGAUGGGACUGCGGCCUAUCAGUUUGUUGGUGAGGUAAUGGCCCACCAAGACUAUUACAGGUACGGGCUCUGAGAGGAGUAGCCCGGAGAUGGGUACUGAGACACGGACCCAGGCCCUAUGGGGCGCAGCAGGCGAGAAAACUUUGCAAUGUGCGAAAGCACGACAAGGUUAAUCCGAGUGGUUUCUGCUAAAGGAACCUUUUGUUAGUCAUAGAACCACUAAUGAAUAAGGGGUGGGCAAGUUCUGGUGUCAGCCGCCGCGGUAAAACCAGCACCUCAAGUGGUCAGGAUGAUUAUUGGGCCUAAAGCAUCCGUAGCCUGCUUUGUAAGUUUUCGGUUAAAUCCAUACGCUCAACGUAUGGGCUGCCGGGAAUACUGCAUAGCUAGGGAGUGGGAGAGGUAGACGGUACUCGGUAGGAAGGGGUAAAAUCCUUUGAUCUAUUGAUGACCACCUGUGGCGAAGGCGGUCUACCAGAACACGUCCGACGGUGAGGGAUGAAAGCUGGGGGAGCAAACCGGAUUAGAUACCCGGGUAGUCCCAGCUGUAAACUAUGCAAACUCGGUGAUGCAUUGGCUUAAUGCCAAUGCAGUGCCGCAGGGAAGCCGUUAAGUUU
rnacentral:rRNA from 1 species